ACAUUACAGAAGUACCCGGCUUGACUGCAGGAACUCAGACCCAAGGCGGCGGUCAUGAUAACUGCUGCAACCAAUGGUGUUUGGGCAAAUCUUAAGCACAGCAGUGACACGCCUGGCCCGAUAAAACCAAUUGACUGCAACAGGUGAUGCUGUUACCUGCAUAAUUUUCCGAACUCGCACAAUGGAGAAACCUGAUUUGAUCAUAAAAUCUGCAGAGGCACCUGCAACAUAUCCUGAUAGAGCCAUGACCGCCCAAGGUAUCAGAGGUUAAUGUUACUUGCAGCAAGCUACUUAGAUGUCACUACUGAGUAAAUGUAAUGGGUGAAAGGAGCUACUUACUUAGGUAAGAAAGUGCUCAUUGUCGGAAAUGCGACGCCUUCAGCAAGGCCAAAGAGUACACGCACAGCAAGCAACAUCGCAGCCGAUUUAGAGGCAGCCCAUGGAGUGAGGAAAGUGGCCAACGACCAGAGUACAGCAGCGCCUGCCAUCACCUUCUUCCCCCCGUAUCGGUCUGCCAAAGCUCCUCCAACCAUGGAUGAGAAAACAUAUCCCCAUAGAAAUGAUGACUGCAGCAGUUGUGGUAAGAUUUAAUAUCAAGUCGGUCAAUUUGGACACCAUCAAUCAUGGACGACAACAAGGGAAUAAGUUGAGGUUGUUUUGGCCUAGAUACUCAUGCAUAUCUAUAGUUUGAUGCUAGUAGGUAAAAGCUGUCUUCUGAUCAAAGUACUUGUGCUUAUUGGUUGCUACAAUGACUUCAUUGUUGGAAUCUCCGACUAGUUGAGAUUAUGCACACCACACCAUCAGACACAUGCUGAAUGACGUCUAGUGCUGCAAUCGUUAAGCCUUGUGGGGUAGCUACUGAUGCAACCUAUCUUUGUUGUCCCAGUCACUAGAAUUGACCAUUGACAUAUUACCUUUCUGGAGACAACUACUCCAGCACACACUGUAUAAAGACGUUCGCGUCGUGACUCAUGAGUUCAUGAACGACAGCUAUGCAAAUAGUACUUAUUAAUUUCCAAUAGCAGUGUUAUAAAAUGUACUAUUGCUUCAGUCGUUCAUGCAUCUCGUCACUCUGAAGUUGAUGCACCGUUGACUUUGUUGAGCAAUAAACUCAACUAGAGCUCAGCAAGAACGGGACAGAGAAGGAGACGCGAUCGUGUGGAUGCAUACCUGGACGAUCCCGACGAAGGAGCUCGACCAGCCAUGCUGCGCGGCGAGCGGCACGACGGCGACGGACAUGACGAC